CCUACGUGAGGCAGCAGUGGGGAAUAUUGGGCAAUGGGCGCAAGCCUGACCCAGCAACGCCGCGUGAAGGAAGAAGGCUUUCGGGUUGUAAACUUCUUUUCUCAGGGACGAAGAAAGUGACGGUACCUGAGGAAUAAGCCACGGCUAACUACGUGCCAGCAGCCGCGGUAAUACGUAGGUGGCAAGCGUUAUCCGGAUUUACUGGGUGUAAAGGGAGUGUAGGCGGGAAAGCAAGUCAGAUGUGAAAACCAUGGGCUCAACCUGUGGCCUGCAUUUGAAACUGAUUUUCUUGAGUGCUGGAGAGGCAGACGGAAUUCCUAGUGUAGCGGUGAAAUGCGUAGAUAUUAGGAGGAACACCAGUGGCGAAGGCGGUCUGCUGGACAGCAACUGACGCUGAGGCGCGAAAGCGUGGGGAGCAAACAGGAUUAGAUACCCGUGUAGUC
rnacentral:rRNA from 1 species